GCUGGCGGCGUGCCUAAUACAUGCAAGUCGAGCGGAUCUUGUCCUUCGGGACAAGGUUAGCGGCGGACGGGUGAGUAACACGUAGGCAACCUGCCCUCAAGACUGGGAUAACCUCCGGAAACGGAUGCUAAUACCGGAUAUGCGGUUUCUCCUCCUGGAGAGAUCGGGAAAGACGGAGCAAUCUGUCACUUGGGGAUGGGCCUGCGGCGCAUUAGCUAGUUGGUGAGGUAACGGCUCACCAAGGCGACGAUGCGUAGCCGACCUGAGAGGGUGAUCGGCCACACUGGGACUGAGACACGGCCCAGACUCCUACGGGAGGCAGCAGUAGGGAAUCUUCCGCAAUGGACGCAAGUCUGACGGA
rnacentral:rRNA from 1 species